AGGGGCUGGAGGAAGCUGAAAAGAUGCAGUUUUAUCUUCAAAGGAAAGGAUGAUGCAACAUGAAGGCCCACUUCAGAUGCCAGUGUCGUGCUCUUGGACUUCCCAGCCUUCAAAACUUUUUCUGUCUUCUCAGUUGAUACUUCCUAUGAAAGAGUAUCUAUUACUGCCAGGUUUUCCCAUGGUUCUGUCUCAUCUCUAGUGCCA